GUUAGUUUAGAUAACCCUCUAGUUGUCUGUCUCUUGUGUUAUACAUGUUGUAGGAGAGGAGACAGGUACGUUAGUUUAGACAACCCUCUAGUUGACUGUCUCUUGUGUUAUACAUGUUGUAGGAGAGGAGACAGGUACGUUAGUUUAGACAACCCUCUAGUUGACUGUCUCUUGUGUUAUACAUGUUGUAGGAGAGGAGACAGGUACGUUAGUUUAGACAACCCUCUAGUUGACUGUCUCUUGUGUUAUACAUGUUGUAGGAGAGGAGACAGGUACGUUAGUUUAGACAACCCUCUAGUUGACUGUCUCUUGUGUUAUACAUGUUGUAGGAGAGGAGACAGGUACGUUAGUUUAGACAACCCUCUAGUUGACUGUCUCUUGUGUUAUACAUGUUGUAGGAGAGGAGACAGGUACGUUAGUUUAGACAACCCUCUAGUUGACUGUCUCUUGUGUUAUACAUGUUGUAGGAGAGGAGACAGGUACGUUAGUUUAGACAACCCUCUAGUUGACUGUCUCUUGUGUUAUACAUGUUGUAGGAGAGGAGACAGGUACGUUAGUUUAGACAACCCUCUAGUUGACUGUCUCUUGUGUUAUACAUGUUGUAGGAGAGGAGACGGGUACGUUAGUUUAGAUAACCCUCUAGUUGACUGUCUCUUG